rnacentral:rRNA from 1 species
GACGAACGCUGGCGGCGUGCUUAACACAUGCAAGUCGAACGGAAAGGCCCUGCUUGCAGGGUACUCGAGUGGCGAACGGGUGAGUAACACGUGGGUGAUCUGCCCUGCACUUCGGGAUAAGCCUGGGAAACUGGGUCUAAUACCGGAUAGGAGCCAUUUUUAGUGUGAUGGUUGGAAAGUUUUUUCGGUGUAGGAUGAGCUCGCGGCCUAUCAGCUUGUUGGUGGGGUAAUGGCCUACCAAGGCGGCGACGGGUAGCCGGCCUGAGAGGGUGGACGGCCACAUUGGGACUGAGGUACGGCCCAGACUCCUACGGGAGGCAGCAGUGGGGAAUAUUGCACAAUGGGCGCAAGCCUGAUGCAGCGAGGCCGCGUGGGGGAUGACGGCCUUCGGGUUGUAAACUCCUUUCGCUAGGGACGAAGCUUUUUGUGACGGUACCUAGAUAAGAAGCACCGGCUAACUACGUG